GGUCUCACUCUGUCACCCAGGCUGGAGUGCAGUGGUGCAGUCAUGGCUCCCUGUAACCUCAACCUCUCAGACUCCAGCAAUCCUCCUGCGACAGGGAGGCAGUCAAUGGUGAAUGCUGGCCUCGCCGAUUACUCACCUGGGGACCUUUCUGAGGAUCAGUUUUCUCAUCUAGAAAAUGGGACAACUGCUAGACCACUGAAGAAAAUACAGAAAACAGCCCCCACACAUCAGCAUGUUUGGUUCCUGCUAGUCUACUUGGAUCUGAGUGUUUUUUCUUGCCAUGAGUGUGACGUGAUUAUCUUCUCCUACAUCACACUGAAGUUUUAUGAGUGA
rnacentral:antisense_RNA from 1 species